rnacentral:lncRNA from 1 species
CUCUCUCUAUCUCCCUCUUUUCAAACCCUAUGACAAAAUCAACAACAACACCAAUAAGCUACCACCCCUCUCCUCUCAUCCUCCACCAGUGAAUAGCUCCACCAGCCCGCUCCCUACCACGCCGUCGUCGCCAUCACCGGCUAGAAACCAACUAGUACACUGGCACCGCUCUAACCCCGCCAUCACAACCAUCCCCAACGCCAUCAAUCGGCGAAACCCCAUCGCUGCUAGAGAAGGCAAUAAGACCAACAUCUGUCGUUCGCUCCCGUCACCAUCCUUCGAAGAUCUUCAUCAAAAGCAACGACCAUACCAUCCACCGGUCUAUGUGCCGCUACAUCAUCACCUCUUCCACCCACGGCAGCAACAACAAACAACGGCCAGCACCCCAACCCCAGCACUGAUGUCGCCUCUCUUCUCCUCCCUCCGAUGAAUUCAUCGACACUGCCCAAGUAAACUUUCUUCGAUCAGGAACUCAACAUCGUCACC